rnacentral:rRNA from 1 species
GGCGACCGGCGCACGGGUGCGUAACGCGUAUGCAACCUACCUUUAACAGGGGGAUAACACUGAGAAAUUGGUACUAAUACCCCAUAAUAUCAUAGAAGGCAUCUUUUAUGGUUGAAAAUUCCGAUGGUUAGAGAUGGGCAUGCGUUGUAUUAGCUAGUUGGUGGGGUAACGGCUCACCAAGGCGACGAUACAUAGGGGGACUGAGAGGUUAACCCCCCACAUUGGAACUGAGACACGGUCCAA